UGGGGAAUAUUGCACAAUGGGCGGACCCUUGANGCAGCGACGCCGCGUGAGGGAUGAAGGCCUUCGGGUUGUAAACCUCUUUCAGCAGGGACGAAGCGUGAGUGACGGUACCUGCAGAAGAAGCACCGGCUAACUACGUGCCAGCAGCCGCGGUAAUACGUAGGGUGCGAGCGUUGUCCGGAAUUACUGGGCGUAAAGAGUUCGUAGGCGGUUUGUCGCGUCGUUUGUGAAAACCCGGGGCGCAACUUCGGGCUUGCAGGCGAUACGGGCAGACUUGAGUGUUUCAGGGGAGACUGGAAUUCCUGGUGUAGCGGUGAAAUGCGCAGAUAUCAGGAGGAACACCGNUGGCGAAGGCGGGUCUCUGGGAAACAACUGACGCUGAGGAACGAAAGCGUGGGUAGCAAACAGGAUUAGAUACCCUGGUAGUCCACGCCGUAAACGGUGGGCGCUAGGUGUGGGUUCCUUCCACGGGAUCUGUGCCGUAGCUAACGCAUUAAGCGCCCCGCCUGGGGAGUACGGCCGCAAGGCUAA
rnacentral:rRNA from 1 species